rnacentral:lncRNA from 1 species
GAAACCAGUGUAGGGUCAUUUUGGGUCCUGUCCAGGAGAGUUAUCUGGAAGAACAAAGGACCCCUAACAGCAGGGAGAAGAAAGAGGUGAACUCCAGAUUCAUAGAAGCCACCCCACCAGAUAGGAACAUCCUUGCCCCUCUAUCACUGCUGCCUUGUUGCUUGUGGAGAUACAGCCACUCGGGUGCUGGUGAGGAGGUGAGCAGAGAGAGCUCAAGGGUGAAUCACU